rnacentral:rRNA from 1 species
CACGUAGGGGGCAAGCGUUGUCCGGAAUCAUUGGGCGUAAAGAGCUCGUAGGCGGCUCAGUAAGUCGGGUGUGAAACCCUCAGGCUCAACCUGGGGACGCCACCCGAUACUGCUGUGGCUAGAGUCCAGUAGGGGAGUGUGGAAUUCCCGGUGUAGCGGUGAAAUGCGUAGAUAUCGUAAGGAAGACCAGUGGCGAAGGCGGGUCUCUGGACAGUUCCUGACGCUGAGGCACGAAGGUCAGGGGAGCAAACGGG